AUGAAAGGGAACAAAAACUUUUGCCUAUCAUUUUACUCGGAGAAUGGCUGGAUUCAUUUGAGCGUGUACAGUUUUGUUUAUAAUUAGUGAAGAGAUGAAAAUAAUGAAACUUUAUGGUGCAGAAAGUGUCUUUUUCAUUACAGUUUCUGCUGCUGGGCAAGCGGUAGAUCACUAUGGCUUCUGUACCGUGAAAUGAAGCUUAUGAUAAAUAAAAUACUGCUGCUUGCUGGUCACUGAUUCAAAAUCGUUCAGUGGCUACUAUUGGCCAAUCUCACCAACGGGAUAUAAUAAGAACUGAUGCAGGUUUAUAUCUACAUGUAUUGUCUAUUCGGAACAAAGUUAGUACGCUUUUUAAACCGAUGUUGGAUUUUUCACCAGAUACAGGCAACCCACUGAAUUUUGGAAGUAGUGCGCUGGAUUCGUCUGAAGAUAUGCUAAACAA